UCGCUCAUGGGAGCUGAGCCAGCCCCAGCAGGGAAGAAGGGUCGCUUUGGCAUUCAUUCUCCUGCAGUUACCAGGCCUCGCCGCCUGCCGGGCUGCUGGUGCGCAGGGCCCAGCCCCCUCCCCAAAGAGCCCCUGAGAGGGGCCAGGAGUGGGGGGAAGGCCACCCGUGGCCUUGUGAGACUGAAGCACAAGCUCCUUCCUCAGCUGCCAGGGAAGAAUUUAAUUACCAAUUAAAGCCCCCUCCAUCUGUUUCGGGCCUGCCAGAGAGCUCUCUCUACCCUUUAAUUACAUCUCUGACAACAAUUUAACUCAAUUAGCUGGUAAACACAGCAGAAUGCAGGCAACCCAGGGCACCCUCUUGUCCCUGCCAUCUGUCUGUCCGUCUUGUGCUUUCCCAACUCGCUCUCAGUCUGUCUGUCCUGCCCCUGCUUCCCUGUCUCAUUUUGACACCGCCCCCCACCCCUUGGUUUUCUCUUUUUCUUCUGUCUUCUCCAGCACCUCUUGUCUGUUUCACACCAGCUGGGUUUCCCCCGCCCUCCGCGUCUUUGUCAUUCUGUCUUCCUCUCCCAUCUGCUCUUUGUCCAUCCCUUUCCCGUGCUCUGUCUUGUUCUGUGCAUCCCAACUUUCUCUCUUACUCUGCCAGGCUAGUCUCCAAUGAGCCUUUUCCUUCCCCUUUCCUUCUCCCCGUCUUCUUCCUCCUUCUCCGCCAUCUGUCCUACAUUAACCAAAUCCAUCCCUUUCAGCAUCUCCUCUGUGAGCCUCCUUUCUGGUGUGUUUCCCUUAACCCCUGCCAUCUCCUUUUGCUUCAUCCACUUAGCACAAACAAAGGGAUAGUAAAGAGGAAGCCUCUAACCUCAAAGCAGCCUAAGUUUUACAGACCUUCUCCUGUGUUUCUGAAUCCCAGGCCUGACCAGAAAUCGUUCCCCCAUGACUCUAGAGAAGGAAAAAUAGAAAGCAUUAUAGGUGUUCAGACUGGUCACAGAAGACAUCUUCGCAAGGCAGUUCCUAUCACAGCCAGCUGAUGUCACCAACGGGGCAUGGGGGAGAUGGAGGAAAGAAACAACAGAAGAGACGAAGAGGAAGGAGGGACGACGGAGCAAAAGUGAAGACAUGAUAUACGGCCGAGGACAUAGGGAGACAAAACCAGACUGACAAGCUGAAGACUCAAACAUUAAUCAAACUGCGCUCCGGAACAACCUUUCCCUCGCAUUAAUAAAUACAUUUGCGGCCCCUCAUUGGACA
rnacentral:lncRNA from 10 species